UCCUACGGGACGCAGCAGUGAGGAAUAUUGGUCAAUGGGCUUACGCCUGAACCAGCCAAGUCGCGUGAGGGAAGACUGCCCUAUGGGUUGUAAACCUCUUUUGUCAGGGAGCAACGCCGGCUACGUGUAGCCGGACUGAGGGUACCUGAAGAAAAAGCAUCGGCUAACUCCGUGCCAGCAGCCGCGGUAAUACGGAGGAUGCGAGCGUUAUCCGGAUUUAUUGGGUUUAAAGGGUGCGUAGGCGGACGCUUAAGUCAGCGGUAAAAUUGCGGGGCUCAACCUCGUCGAGCCGUUGAAACUGGGUG
rnacentral:rRNA from 1 species